CAUGCUAACUUAACGCAUUCUUUAAUAUGCUAAUUUUACCAGCCAAUUUCCCUAGCUCCUCCUUUCAUUAAAUCGGCGUACAGUCAGUUUGAUGCAACAACUCCACAAUUGAAGAUGGCGAGAAGGAACUUCCAUAUCAGCUGCAAACAGACCCUAAAUGGCUGCACUCGGCUUCUGCUCUCCGAUAAUCUGGACUUGAUGCCUUCAGUGCACAUUAACAAGCCAGUUCCAGGGCUUCUCGGACUUGGAGAGGAACUAGGGUGCACCUUGUUAUGCCAUCACUUAAGAGCAACUGAGGUUUCUGAUGUCCUGUGCUUUCAGUGUGUCUCAGAUGGCAGAUAUUCUAMAUGUGUCCUGAUCGACAGUCAAACGUUGUCUAAGACACUUCAAUUUGUUACAUGCACCAACCAUUAUAUUCUGACAUGUCGGCUGGGAACGACAAACGUGGAGCGGAGGCUGUUCGAUCACAAUUAAGGGCUCUGGGUGCAGAGACUCAGAUUGAGGGACAGCAUGCUUCGUGUUAACCCGAGGGCGGCUGCCCUUAGAGCCAUGUCGCAGAGGCUGCAUAGAAGGUCAUACCGUGUUGCUGGACCAAACUCGUUAUGGCACCUUCAUGGAAACCACAAACUGAUAAGGUAGAUGUAUCUUUGUGAUACACAAUUAUCU